UACAGAGGUCUCAAGCGUUGUUCGGAUUCAUUGGGCGUAAAGGGUGCGUAGGUGGCGCCGUAAGUCGGGUGUGAAAUUUCGGAGCUUAACUCCGAAACUGCAUUCGAUACUGCGGUGCUUGAGGACUGGAGAGGAGACUGGAAUUCAUGGUGUAGCAGUGAAAUGCGUAGAUAUGCGGAGGAACACCGAUGGCGAAGGCAAUCCCCUGGGCCUGUACUGACGCUCAUGCACGAAAGCGUGGGGAGCAAACAGG
rnacentral:rRNA from 1 species